rnacentral:rRNA from 1 species
GACGAACGCUGGCGGCGUGCUUAACACAUGCAAGUCGAACGGGAUUUAGUAAAUGGAGGCCUCGGUGGAAGAUUACUACUGAGAGUGGCGAACUGGUGAGUAACGCGUGAGCAACCUGCCUAUUACAGUGGGAUAGCCUCAGGAAACCGUGAUUAAUACCGCAUAAAAUCGUAGAAACACAUGUUUCAACGGUCAAGGAUUUAUCGGUCAUAGAUGGGCUCGCGUCUGAUUAGCUAGUUGGUGAGAUCACAGCCCACCAAGGAGACGAUCAGUAGCCGGUCGGGGGGGAGGAACGACCAGAAUGGAAAUAAGACACAGUCCAAAAUCCGACGGAGGGGAGGAGAGGAUAAUAUUGCAGAAGGGAGGAAACAGUGAUGAAGCGACGUCGGGUGAACGAAGAUGGGAGUCGUAUAGUGAAGUUGUGUCUUAUGAGAAGAUAAUGACGGUACCAGAGAAGAAAGCACCGGCUAAAUACGUG